UCGGGAUCCGGCCCCGGGGGCCGGCCUUGGGGGUCCUGGCCCGAUCCCAGAGGACUCUUCAUGUCGUGCACCUGCAGAACGUCGGGGGCGCUGCCACUUAGGCCGCUGAGAGCCUGCUGGGCGAUAUCCUGUGAUGACAGGGGACUAAGGAGUAUAUGAAGGUGUGCUUCAAAGGUCUGACCUUCUAAUUUUCAAUGGGGAAUCCUAUUUUAAGACUCCCAGGAAGAGCCUGUGCUGAUUCCUUCAGAAGGCAUACACUAUGUCUUAUUUACUUCUGCUCAGUAAAUGUUGAAGAAGUCAGGCAGUGAAGGAAUGGACCAAAGAAGGAGUCAAGCAAAGGGGCAUGCAGAAUCUUCUGUAUUUUCUAGAUCAUCUAAUCUGAACAUUGACAUUUGAGCAGGCCAUGAGGAUCUCCUAACAAGACUGCAACUUAAUUAUCAUUGUAUUAUUCGCUUCUUGUGCUAUUUCUGUUGCAUACAAAGUAAAAUAAGUUAUGUUGAGUUGAUUGAAACUAAAAUAAAUAUUGAAAUCUGGGAGCAUAAAGAAUUGUGAGAUUUGAUUGCCUCUUAAAAACAAUACUGAAAGCAGCCUGGAAAGAGCUAAUUUACAUAAUCUGCCAUAGAAAUUCCUGAAAACAGUCACCUAAAUUAUUUUGUUUCAUAUUUGGUGAUGCUUGACUUAAGGGUCAGCCUAGUUGUAGCAGAAAGAACAACUGUCUUAAAAUCCGACAAACCUGGGCUGAAGUCCUAUCUUGCUCCUUGACUGUGUAUCUGAUCUUGAGCAAAUCACUUAGCCCCUCUGAACCUUUCUUCCUCUACAGCAUGUCGGUAUUAUAUUGCGUAUCUUCACAGGUGCCAGGAUGAUUAAGUUAGAUUGUUAGAAAUACUUCAAGUGCCUUCCUACCCUUAAAUACUGAGAAAAUAACUAGAAAACGUUAUCAAGAGGUGACUCAUUAAAAUAUAGACCAGUAAUCAGAUAAACUUCAAGACUUUGCUGUGAGAAUGCUGUUGAUAAUAAAGGAGAACAAUAAUCUCUUGUAUGGUGUCUUGUGUUGGUGGUGAUCUAGUUCAGUGCUGUAUUUCCUGACCUAGAUUUAGCAGUGAAUUUGUAAAUGAUAUAACUAACUUCUUUACCAUAGCCCCUAGGAGCAAGAGACAUAGGAGAUAAAUUAAAAGAAGAGCUGGUUGUAACUGUCAUAACCCAAGGAGAGGGAAAAAAGGCUUGGGUAUGGAGUGGUAAAUAUUAUCUUGUCGUUUCAUGGACCCACAGUUGGGAAACACUGUUCUAGUAGGAAUCUAAAUAUUUGACUUCCAUGGUGGUUGUAUUAUUUAUUAUAAGACUUAGUGGAACCUAUUGCUUAGAGUGGGAUACCCCUCCCAGAACAAGCUGGGAAAAUCUCCAGGAUGCCAGCCAGGGCACUGAGGAGAGUUUCCAGGGACUUAGGCCACUGCCACUCCCUCUCUUCCUGGAAAAGAAUGCAAAGUGCAGCUUCCAUCCCCAGAUCCAGGCCAUAUGCUCCAUUAAGCAUUGUAGGCACCUUGCCCAGUUGUUAUUUUAAUAAACCUGGUUGUGCUCCUCAAUUUCCCUUACAGGGCCCACUGGGCAGGCUAGCAUUGGUAGAACCUUGUGUUUCCCCUCUGACUGACCCAGGAGCUGUUUGAUGAAAGUUCUGCCCAUAGUAUUAGUGCUGGCUUAGGAAGCUUGGCCUUUUUGCCAUUGUAAUGGGUGUUGCAAUUCCUGGUCUCUGUGGCUCAGGCCAACAACAGCAGAGUAGAGUUGAUGUGGAUUUUGAGGGCGUUAUGUAGAGAUGACAUUUCAGGAAAGAAUAAUUGAUUUAAAGCUAUUGCCUUUCUCUUAAAGGCAGGGGGCAUGGCAGGACAGAAAGAAAGGAAUAAUAAGCAAUAUUUGCCCUAAAAUCUAUCUUCACAUUUUUAAUGUAUCAGUGUCCAAAUUUGUACUUUUUUGUGUGCUUCAUUGAAUCUGUUUCCACUGUGGUUGAGUAGAAUUUAAAUAAUUUAUAAAUGAAGAAUUUAAAUAAAU